rnacentral:lncRNA from 1 species
UCUCUUAUCAUGCAUGCAUGCAAUAUGCAUACAUCAGCCGACAUAUGUAUAUAUACAUAUACACACACUGCUAGGAGUAUUUAGCGAAAGUAGAAAGUAGUAGUGUCGGCACAACGGAUAGCCAUGGAAGCAACUAGCUAGCAAGCUCGGGUACGAGUAGAAGAGUAGAACCUACUGGGUCCCCUCCCUCCCUCAUCAUUAUCAUUAAUUAUUAUGCUUUCGUUUUUUUCUUGUUGCAAAAUGUGACUCCAUCUCCUCCAUAAUUAAGCACUUCCUACACUUUAACUCCCCGUGAAGUAAUCAACGAACAAGGAAACUAGUUAUGUUGUAUUAAAUACAACAGUGCUCCCUGAAAUCAAUGAAUAAUGAUGAUUGAUGACAUGCAUAGGUUUUGUAAUUGACAUAAAGCAAGUACUCCAGUAGCUCGAUCGGCUUACUGAAUUAUUCACGCAGAAACAUGGCAUGUGGUGAGCCCAUUUCUAUAUAUUUCAGAUCAGUGCAUGAUCAUCAUCGAUCAGGUGCACCUCAGCAAAGGAAAAUCUUAUUCUUGAUUCCCAGAGGAAUUAUAGGGGAUUACCAGAGAAUGGAAAAAGACAAGAACACGGUCACCUUCAGCUGCCACGACACAAAUCGCAACAUAACUAAUGUUGGAGCAUGAGUUCUAAUAAUGCAAAUAAAAGAAAAAUAUAGUCUUAGCUAAGCUAGGCCCGCGGGGCACCUUUGUUUUGGCGCAGGGAGCUCCAGAAAAUUCAGCGGCGGGUGUUGUAACUGUGAUGGAGAUCAGAUGAGGAGAAUAUCGUGCCCUCGAAGCACCAUAUUGCAUUCCUCCUUAGCUUUUGAUCAGAUCAUGCAUGCUGCUGCCUUCUUCUUUUAGCCAGGGGAAAUCAAAUACCCACAAUGCGAAACAGCUGUCUCCUGAUAUUUCAUAGCUCUUGUUUGUCACGACUCAAAUUUGAGCACGUGACCGGCACAUAGAUCAAGGAAUUAUAUAUAGUACUUAGU